AUUAGGCUAAAAACAGGACAAAGGAAGAGGUGAGGGCAAACGGAAAAUGCCAUGGAAGGCACUGCCCAGCACGGCCAGGGCCCAGAACCCUCCUCACAGCCUUCAUUCAUCUGCAGCCAGGCCCUGUGCUGGGCCCUGGGGAUGCAGAGUUAAAUGCACUGUCACGCCUGCCCUCCAGGAGCUCCCAGUCCAGCCGGGGAGGCUGUACAAACAGACCAUCACGGUACAGGACGAGGCUUUCUUGGACAGACCUCUACGAGACGUGAGGUCAACGGGGGCAGAUCGGUAUUUCUACCUGGUUUGAGAAGGAAAACUGAUGCCCAAAAGGAAGUCGUGUUCUCACAUGACAUGCACCAGAGCCCCGAGGACACACUCGUGAGAGAAAUCAUCAGGACGGGUUCUGCAGUUCAAGACAAGACAGCGGCCCCAGUCCCGGUCUGAGAGAGAAGCGAACAGUGCAGCGGGGAGGCGACGUGAGGCGAUGCUCAAUGACACGGGCAGGAGGGGGCCUGCCCGUCCUUCCCUGCCCGCUCCUUCUCGGGCCUGCUGACGUGUCCUCUGCAGCCCUUGGGGGCAGUAGCCCAUCUGGGGCAGGGCACGUACUCUCCAAACCUUAGUUUCUUCUUCCUAUGAAAAGCCGGCCUUGUAGGGCUGCGGGGAGGGU